GCACUCUGGGAUAAGCCUGGGAAACUGGGUCUAAUACUGGAUAUGACCUUUCUCCUUAUGGGGUUUGGUGGAAAGUUUUCGGUGUAGGAUGAGCCCGCGGCCUAUCAGCUUGUUGGUGGGGUGGAUGGCCUACCAAGGCGACGACGGGUAGCCGGCCUGAGAGGGUGAUCGGCCACAUUGGGACUGAGAUACGGCCCAG
rnacentral:rRNA from 1 species